GAUGAACGCUGGCGGCGUGCUUAACACAUGCAAGUCGAACGAAGCACUUUGAAAAGCUUGCUUUUUAGAGUGACUGAGUGGCGGACGGGUGAGUAACGCGUGGGUAACCUGCCUUACACAGGGGGAUAACAGUUAGAAAUGACUGCUAAUACCGCAUAAAACAGCAGUACCGCAUGGUACAACUGUCAAAGAUUUAUCGGUGUAAGAUGGACCCGCGUCUGAUUAGCUAGUUGGUGGGGUAACGGCCUACCAAGGCGACGAUCAGUAGCCGACCUGAGAGGGUGACCGGCCACAUUGGGACUGAGACACGGCCCAAACUCCUACGGGAGGCAGCAGUGGGGAAUAUUGGACAAUGGGCGCAAGCCUGAUCCAGCGACGCCGCGUGAGCGAUGAAGUAUUUCGGUAUGUAAAGCUCUAUCAGCAGGGAAGAAAACGACGGUACCUGACUAAGAAGCCCCGGCUAACUGCGUGCCAGCCGCCGCUGUAACAC
rnacentral:rRNA from 1 species